UCGAAGGUAGCAUAAUCAGUAGUCUUUUAAUUGAAGGCUGGAAUGAAUGGUUGGACGAAAUAUUAACUGUUUCAUAAUAAUUUUUAAUAUAAUUUUAUUUUUUAGUAAAAAAGCUAAAAUUUAUUUAAAAGACGAGAAGACCCUAUAAAUCUUUAUAUAAUUAUUUAUUAUAAUUUUUUAGAUUUAUUUUAUUAUAAUUUUUAAUUAUAUUUUAUUGGGGUGAUAUUAAAAUUUAAUAAACUUUUAAUUUUUAAAAUAUCAUUAAUUUAUGAAUAGUUGAUCCGUUAAUAACGAUUAAAAAUUUAAGUUACUUUAGGGAUAACAGCGUAAUUUUUUUGGAGAGUUCAUAUCGAUAAAAAAGAUUGCGACCUCG
rnacentral:rRNA from 1 species